rnacentral:rRNA from 1 species
ACGUACACUCCUACGGGAGGCAGCAGUGGGGAAUAUUGGACAAUGGGCGCAAGCCUGAUCCAGCCAUGCCGCGUGAGUGAUGAAGGCCCUAGGGUUGUAAAGCUCUUUCACCGGUGAAGAUAAUGACGGUAACCGGAGAAGAAGCCUCGGCUAACUUCGUGCCAGCAGCCGCGGUAAUACGAAGGGGGCUAGCGUUGUUCGGAUUUACUGGGCGUAAAGCGCACGUAGGCGGACUAUUAAGUCAGGGGUGAAAUCCCGGGGCUCAACCCCGGAACUGCCUUUGAUACUGGUAGUCUUGAGUUCGAGAGAGGUGAGUGGAAUUCCGAGUGUAGAGGUGAAAUUCGUAGAUAUUCGGAGGAACACCAGUGGCGAAGGCGGCUCACUGGCUCGAUACUGACGCUGAGGUGCGAAAGCGUGGGGAGCAAACAGGAUUAGAUACCCUAGUAGUCC